UGGGGAAUUUUGGACAAUGGGCGAAAGCCUGAUCCAGCAAUGCCGCGUGUGUGAAGAGGGCCUUCGGGUUGUAAAGCACUUUUGUCCGGAAAGAAAUCCUUGGCUCUAAUACAGUCGGGGGAUGACGGUACCGGAAGAAUAAGCACCGGCUAACUACGUGCCAGCAGCCGCGGUAAUACGUAGGGUGCAAGCGUUAAUCGGAAUUACUGGGCGUAAAGCGUGCGCAGGCGGUUUGCUAAGACCGAUGUGAAAUCCCCGGGCUCAACCUGGGAACUGCAUUGGUGACUGGCAGGCUAGAGUAUGGCAGAGGGGGGUAGAAUUCCACGUGUAGCGGUGAAAUGCGUAGAGAUCUGGAGGAAUACCGGUGGCGAAGGCGGCCCCCUGGACGAAGACUGACGCUCAGGUGCGAAAGCGUGGGGCAGCAAACAGGAUUAGAUACCCUGGUAGUCCACGCCCUAAACGAUGUCAACUAGUUGUUGGGGAUUCAUUUCCUUAGUAACGUAGCUAACGCGUGAAGUUGACCGCCUGGGGAGUACGGUCGCAAGAUUAAAACUUAAAGGAAUUGACGGGGU
rnacentral:rRNA from 1 species